rnacentral:rRNA from 1 species
GAUGAACGCUGGCGGCGUGCUUAACACAUGCAAGUCGAACGAUGAAGCCCAGCUUGCUGGGUGGAUUAGUGGCGAACGGGUGAGUAACACGUGAGUAACCUGCCCUUAACUCUGGGAUAAGCCUGGGAAACUGGGUCUAAUACCGGAUAGGAGCGUCCACCGCAUGGUGGGUGUUGGAAAGAUUUAUCGGUUUUGGAUGGACUCGCGGCCUAUCAGCUUGUUGGUGAGGUAAUGGCUCACCAAGGCGACGACGGGUAGCCGGCCUGAGAGGGUGACCGGCCACAAUGGGACUGAGACACGGCCGAGACUCCUACGGGAGGCAGCAGUGGGGAAUAUUGGACAAUGGGCGCAAGCCUGAUGCAGCGACGCCGCGUGAGGGAUGACGGCCUUCGGGUUGUAAACCUCUUUCAGUAGGGAAGAAGCGAAAGUGACGGUACAUGCAGAAGAAGCACCGGCUAACCACG